rnacentral:rRNA from 1 species
AUACGGAGGGUGCAAGCGUUGUUCGGAAUCACUGGGCGUAAAGGGCGCGCAGGCGGUUUUACAAGUCAGAUGUGAAAGCCCACGGCUUAACCGUGGAAGUGCAUUUGAAACUGUAAGACUUGAGUAUCAGAGGGGAAGGUGGAACUCCCGGUGUAGAGGUGAAAUUCGUAGAUAUCGGGAGGAAUACCGGUGGCGAAGGCGACUUUCUGGCUGAAUACUGACGCUGAGGCGCGAAAGCGUGGGGAGCAAACAGGAUUAGAAACCCUAGUAGUCC